rnacentral:rRNA from 1 species
UACAGAGGGUGCGAACGUUGCUCGGAAUCACUGGGCGUAAAGCGCGUGUAGGCGGAUGAUCAAGUCAGGUGUGAAAUCCCUGGGCUCAACCCAGGAACUGCAUCUGAAACUGGUUGUCUUGAGUACUGGAGAGGGAAGCGGAAUUCCUGGUGUAGAGGUGAAAUUCGUAGAUAUCAGGAGGAACACCGGUGGCGAAGGCGGCUUCCUGGACAGUCACUGACGCUGAGACGCGAAAGCGUGGGGAGCAAACAGG